rnacentral:rRNA from 1 species
AGAGUUUGAUCCUGGCUCAGAAUCAACGCUGGCGGCGUGCCUCAGACAUGCAAGUCGAACGAUUAAAGCUCCCUUCGGGGAGUGCAUAGAGUGGCGCACGGGUGAGUAACACGUAAGUAAUCUACCCUCGGGUGGGGAAUAACAACCGGAAACGGUUGCUAAUACCGCAUAAUGCAGCGGCACCGCAAGGUGACAGUUGUUAAAGGAGCAAUCCGCCUGGGGAGGAGCUUGCGGCAGAUUAGCUUGUUGGUAAGGUAACGGCUUACCAAGGCUACGAUCUGUAUCCGGUCUAAGAGGACGGUCGGACACACUGACACUGAAUAACGGGUCAGACUCCUACGGGAGGCAGCAGUCGGGAAUUUUGGGCAAUGGGGGAAACCCUGACCCAGCAACGCCGCGUGAAGGAUGAAGUAUUUCGGUAUGUAAACUUCGAAAGAAUAGGAAGAAUUAAUGACGGUACUAUUUAUAAGGUCCGGCUAACUACGUGCCAGCAGCCGCGGUAAUACGUAGGGACCAAGCGUUGUUCGGAUUUACUGGGCGUAAAGGGCGCGUAGGCGGCGUGGUAAGUCACUUGUGAAAUCUCCGAGCUUAACUCGGAACGGCCAAGUGAUACUGCUGUGCUAGAGUGCAGAAGGGGCAAUCGGAAUUCUUGGUGUAGCGGUGAAAUGCGUAGAUAUCAAGAGGAACACCUGAGGUGAAGACGGGUUGCUAGGCUGACACUGACGCUGAUGCGCGAAAGCCAGGGGAGCAAACGGGAUUAGAUACCCCGGUAGUCCUGGCCCUAAACGAUGAAUACUUGGUGUCUGGAGUUUUAAUGCUCCGGGUGCCGUCGCUAACGUUUUUAGUAUUCCGCCUGGGGAGUACGCUCGCAAGAGUGAAACUCAAAGGAAUUGACGGGGACCCGCACAAGCGGUGGAGCAUGUGGUCCAAUUCGAUGCAACGCGAAGAACCUUACCUGGGUUUGACAUCUGCC